AUUGAACGCUGGCGGCAGGCCUAACACAUGCAAGUCGAGCGGAAACGAAGGGAGCUUGCCCCCAGGCGUCGAGCGGCGGACGGGUGAGUAACACGUGAGACUCCGCCCAUUCGCGGGGGACAACUCGGGGAAACGCGAGCUAAUACCGCAUAAUCCCUAUGGGGGAAAGCAGGGGCACUUUUGGCCUUGCCCUGAUGCAUGACCCCACGUCGGAUUAGCUUGUUGGUGAGGUAAAGGCUCACCAAGGCGACGAUCCGUAGCUGGUCUGAGCGGAUGAUCAGCCACACUGGGACUGAGACACGGCCCAGACUCCUACGGGAGGCAGCAGUGGGGAAUCUUGGACAAUGGGGGCAACCCUGAUCCAGCCAUGCCGCGUGUGUGAAGAAGGCCUUCGGGUUGUAAAGCACUUUCAGCGGGGAGGAAGGCUUUGGCCGAAUAGGUUGAAGUACUUGACGUUACCUGCAGAAGAAGCACCGGCUAAUUUCGUGCCAGCCGCCGCAGUAA
rnacentral:rRNA from 1 species